rnacentral:rRNA from 1 species
GACGAACGCUGGCGGCGUGCUUAACACAUGCAAGUCGAACGAAGUGGCGAACGGGUGAGUAACGCGUAAUCAACCUGCCCUUCAGAGGGGGACAACAGUUGGAAACGACUGCUAAUACCGCAUACUGAAGGAGGGGAUUGCGUCUGAUUAGCUAGUUGGGGGGGUAACGGCCCACCAAGGCGAUGAUCAGUAGCCGGUUCGGGAGGAUGGACGGCCACAUUGGGACCGGGACACGGGCCAGAAUCCUACCGGAGGGAGCAGUUGGGAAACGUCCGAAAUUGGAGAAAGUCUGGCGGCGGAACGCCGCGGGAGUGAUGAAGGGCUUCGGGUUGUAAAGCUCUGUUAAUCGGGACGCGGUACCGGAAUAGAAAGCCACGGCUAACUACGUGCCAGCAGCCGCGGUAAUAC